rnacentral:rRNA from 1 species
CCUACGGGGGGCAGCAGUGGGGAAUAUUGCGCAAUGGGCGAAAGCCUGACGCAGCGACGCCGCGUGAGGGAUGAAGGUCUUCGGAUCGUAAACCCCUGUCAGCAGGGAAGUACGGUCACUGUGCUAAUCAGCAGUGCAUUUACGGUACCUGCAAAGGACGCACCGGCUAACUCCGUGCCAGCAGCCGCGGUAAUACGGAGGGUCGGAGCGUUAAUCGGAUUUACUGGGCGUAAAGGGCUCGUAGGCGGUAUGUCAAGUCAAGGGUGAAAUCCCGGCGCUCAACGUGGGAACUGACGUUGAAAAUGGGGAACUGGAGUGUGUGAGAGGAUAGUGGAAUUCGAGGUGGAGGAGUGAAAUCCGUAGAUAUCUGGAGGAACAUCAGUGGCGAAGGCGACUAUCUGGCACAUAACUGACGCUGAGGAGCGAAAGCGUGGGUAGCAAACAGGAUUAGAUACCCCUGUAGUC